AUUCCUUUGGCUUCAUGGUCAAGUUCAGCUCCAGCCCUCCCCUGCAUUGUCCUACAUGGUGCUGCUCAGCAACAUCAGAACUGCAAUGAAUUUCACCAGGAGCUAGCAGAAAAUGACUCAUUGAAAGUCGACUGCAGUGGCUAACACUGUUCAGAAUGUGCUAGUGUUCUGAGCUUCCGAGAUUAACGCCUCUGUGUACAGCUCCAUCUUAUUUAUGAACCGACCACCUCCUAAGGCUGCUCAUGCAGAGAGGAAACCUCAGCCUUUAUGAUCAGAAGUAUUCCAUAUUUUAAGGAGAUACACAAAUAAUGUCUAUGGGCAAAUAAGAGACUAAUGACAAUGAAGGAAAAAACUUGGAUAUCAGGGCAGAAUCCCGGUCGUACUCCACAUGUCUGGGAGCCCUGUAGCCAGCGGAAUCACCGAGCCAACUGCAAAACCAGCUUCCUGACAUCAAUUGCGCAUUUUGGGCAUUUUCCACAUCUGAUUGAGUUUGAAGGCACAAUUUUUUUUAAACCUGCUUUAGUUUUAAGAGGCCAAUUGGUAUUGGAAUAUGAAAUGUAAUUAAAAAGAGCAUUCAUAUAGAUGAAUAAAGGGGAAUAUCUUUAAUUAAGAGCCUUCAGGGUAUCACCAUGAUGAUGCUGGUAGAAAAAUUAUCUUUUCACCUGGGAAGGGUCAGAAGGUAGAUGUGGAUACACCUCAAUUUAUAGAAUAGAUGUGUUUCUAAACACUCUGGGGGGAAAAAGCUAUUUUAAAUGCGUUAAGGAAAUUUGCCAUUUGAGGAAAGCUUAGGAUAUACUUUUGUAAAGAGGAUUUAUUGAAUGAAUCAUAAUCUGUGUUUGUUGUUUAUGUUCAGAUUUGCCUACAGCUCCUUUUCUUAAAGUGAGGCACACCCGUCUUAAAAACUCCUUCUCAUUUUCUCUCCCUGGGAUGUUUCCUAACCAACGGUAAAGAUGACCCACACUGUGAACUGUUCUAGGCAUUCAUCAUAUCUGGUUAUUGUAUCAGAACCAUAAGCUCCAGUGUUGACCAAACUUGACCUCAAACUGGCUCCCAAGACAUACAAAAGAGAAUCAAACAAAUUUGGCUUACACCCUGUGUCUAAGAAGGCUGGCCAAAGCAGGAUGACUGUAUCCUCAGAAACAUCUGGAUGUUUGCCUUUCCACUGACAAAAGAUGUAGACGACUGAGUGAAUGUGACACUUUUCCUUUGGGUGCUCUUAUGUCAUGUAAAACACAGACUUAGUUGACAAUCAAGAGGUCGACUACUUAAUGUCUUCUUAUGAAAAUGUAUGCAAUGGUUUGGAGAACCAGAGGCUCGGGCUCCUAACCCUGAGCAGGUGCUGAUAAGUCAUUCAAACUCUCUGUGCCUCAGUUUUUUGCUUUGUGAAAAAAAGACAGGAAACAGCCUACCUUAUAGGCUUGUUUAGAGGAACAAUGAGGAAUAUGAAUGAUGAAGGACAUUUUGUAAUAGUUAAAUUCCUUGUCAAUAUAACUCCAAGACUAGCUCUUUUAAAUUUUGGAUGUUAGUAGAAGUAGUCUAAAAAAACCCCAUAAAAUAAGCAAAACAAAAAAAGCCCAAAACCCAAACACCUGAGUGGUGUUACCUUUG